rnacentral:rRNA from 1 species
UACGUAGGGUGCAAGCGUUAAUCGGAAUUACUGGGCGUGAAGCGUGCGCAGGCGGUUAUGUAAGACAGAUGUGAAAUGCCCGGGCUUAACCUGGGAACUGCAUUUGUGACUGCAUGGCUAGAGUGUGUCAGAGGGGGGUAGAAUUCCACGUGUAGCAGUGAAAUGCGUAGAUAUGUGGAGGAAUACCGAUGGCGAAGGCAGCCCCCUGGGAUAACACUGACGCUCAUGCACGAAAGCGUGGGGAGCAAACAGG